UACAGAGGUCCCAAGCGUUGUUCGGAUUCAUUGGGCGUAAAGGGUGCGUAGGUGGCAGGGUAAGUUGGAUGUGAAAUCCCGGGGCUCAACCCCGGAACUGCAUUCAAUACUGCCCUGCUAGAGUACUGGAGAGGGGAUUGGAAUUCAUGGUGUAGCAGUGAAAUGCGUAGAUAUCAUGAGGAAGACCAGUGGCGAAGGCGGAUCUCUGGACAGUUACUGACACUGAGGCACGAAGGCCAGGGGAGCGAACGGG
rnacentral:rRNA from 1 species